rnacentral:rRNA from 1 species
ACAAAAAUGCACAUGCUGUGAGCUCGAUGAGUAGGGCGGGACACGUGGUAUCCUGUCUGAAUAUGGGGGGACCAUCCUCCAAGGCUAAAUACUCCUGACUGACCGAUAGUGAACCAGUACCGUGAGGGAAAGGCGAAAAGAACCCCGGCGAGGGGAGUGAAAAAGAACCUGAAACCGUGUACGUACAAGCAGUGGGAGCACAGAGCAAUCUGUGUGACUGCGUACCUUUUGUAUAAUGGGUCAGCGACUUAUAUUCUGUAGCAAGGUUAACCGAAUAGGGGAGCCGAAGGGAAACCGAGUCUUAACUGGGCGUUAAGUUGCAGGGUAUAGACCCGAAACCCGGUGAUCUAGCCAUGGGCAGGUUGAAGGUUGGGUAACACUAACUGGAGGACCGAACCGACUAAUGUUGAAAAAUUAGCGGAUGACUUGUGGCUGGGGGUGAAAGGCCAAUCAAACCGGGAGAUAGCUGGUUCUCCCCGAAAGCUAUUUAGGUAGCGCCUCGUGAAUUCAUCUCCGGGGGUAGAGCACUGUUUCGGCAAGGGGGUCAUCCCGACUUACCAACCCGAUGCAAACUGCGAAUACCGGAGAAUGUUAUCACGGGAGACACACGGCGGGUGCUAACGUCCGUCGUGAAGAGGGAAACAACCCAGACCGCCAGCUAAGGUCCCAAAGUCAUGGUUAAGUGGGAAACGAUGUGGGAAGGCCCAGACAGCCAGGAUGUUGGCUUAGAAGCAGCCAUCAUUUAAAGAAAGCGUAAUAGCUCACUGGUCGAGUCGGCCUGCGCGGAAGAUGUAACGGGGCUAAACCAUGCACCGAAGCUGCGGCAGCGACGCUUAUGCGUUGUUGGGUAGGGGAGCGUUCUGUAAGCCUGCGAAGGUGUGCUGUGAGGCAUGCUGGAGGUAUCAGAAGUGCGAAUGCUGACAUAAGUAACGAUAAAGCGGGUGAAAAGCCCGCUCGCCGGAAGACCAAGGGUUCCUGUCCAACGUUAAUCGGGGCAGGGUGAGUCGACCCCUAAGGCGAGGCCGAAAGGCGUAGUCGAUGGGAAACAGGUUAAUAUUCCUGUACUUGGUGUUACUGCGAAGGGGGGACGGAGAAGGCUAUGUUGGCCGGGCGACGGUUGUCCCGGUUUAAGCGUGUAGGCUGGUUUUCCAGGCAAAUCCGGAAAAUCAAGGCUGAGGCGUGAUGACGAGGCACUACGGUGCUGAAGCAACAAAUGCCCUGCUUCCAGGAAAAGCCUCUAAGCAUCAGGUAACAUCAAAUCGUACCCCAAACCGACACAGGUGGUCAGGUAGAGAAUACCAAGGCGCUUGAGAGAACUCGGGUGAAGGAACUAGGCAAAAUGGUGCCGUAACUUCGGGAGAAGGCACGCUGAUAUGUAGGUGAAGCGACUUGCUCGUGGAGCUGAAAUCAGUCGAAGAUACCAGCUGGCUGCAACUGUUUAUUAAAAACACAGCACUGUGCAAACACGAAAGUGGACGUAUACGGUGUGACGCCUGCCCGGUGCCGGAAGGUUAAUUGAUGGGGUCAGCGCAAGCGAAGCUCUUGAUCGAAGCCCCGGUAAACGGCGGCCGUAACUAUAACGGUCCUAAGGUAGCGAAAUUCCUUGUCGGGUAAGUUCCGACCUGCACGAAUGGCGUAAUGAUGGCCAGGCUGUCUCCACCCGAGACUCAGUGAAAUUGAACUCGCUGUGAAGAUGCAGUGUACCCGCGGCAAGACGGAAAGACCCCGUGAACCUUUACUAUAGCUUGACACUGAACAUUGAGCCUUGAUGUGUAGGAUAGGUGGGAGGCUUUGAAGUGUGGACGCCAGUCUGCAUGGAGCCGACCUUGAAAUACCACCCUUUAAUGUUUGAUGUUCUAACGUGGACCCGUAAUCCGGGUUGCGGACAGUGUCUGGUGGGUAGUUUGACUGGGGCGGUCUCCUCCUAAAGAGUAACGGAGGAGCACGAAGGUUGGCUAAUCCUGGUCGGACAUCAGGAGGUUAGUGCAAUGGCAUAAGCCAGCUUGACUGCGAGCGUGACGGCGCGAGCAGGUGCGAAAGCAGGUCAUAGUGAUCCGGUGGUUCUGAAUGGAAGGGCCAUCGCUCAACGGAUAAAAGGUACUCCGGGGAUAACAGGCUGAUACCGCCCAAGAGUUCAUAUCGACGGCGGUGUUUGGCACCUCGAUGUCGGCUCAUCACAUCCUGGGGCUGAAGUAGGUCCCAAGGGUAUGGCUGUUCGCCAUUUAAAGUGGUACGCGAGCUGGGUUUAGAACGUCGUGAGACAGUUCGGUCCCUAUCUGCCGUGGGCGCUGGAGAACUGAGGGGGGCUGCUCCUAGUACGAGAGGACCGGAGUGGACGCAUCACUGGUGUUCGGGUUGUCAUGCCAAUGGCACUGCCCGGUAGCUAAAUGCGGAAGAGAUAAGUGCUGAAAGCAUCUAAGCACGAAACUUGCCCCGAGAUGAGUUCUCCCUGACUCCUUGAGAGUCCUGAAGGAACGUUGAAGACGACGACGUUGAUAGGCCGGGUGUGUAAGCGCAGCGAUGCGUUGAGCUAACCGGUACUAAUGAACCGUGAG